rnacentral:rRNA from 1 species
UACGUAGGGUGCAAGCGUUGUCCGGAAUUAUUGGGCGUAAAGAGCUCGUAGGCGGUUUGUCGCGUCUGCUGUGAAAACCCGAGGCUCAACCUCGGGCCUGCAGUGGGUACGGGCAGACUAGAGUGCGGUAGGGGAGAUUGGAAUUCCUGGUGUAGCGGUGGAAUGCGCAGAUAUCAGGAGGAACCCCCAUUGCCAAGGCAGAUCUCUGGGCCGUAACUGACGCUGAGGAGCGAAAGCGUGGGGAGCGAACAGG